ACGGUAGCUAAUACCGCAUAACGUCUUCGGACCAAAGUGGGGGACCUUCGGGCCUCAUGCCAUCAGAUGUGCCCAGAUGGGAUUAGCUAGUAGGUGGGGUAACGGCUCACCUAGGCGACGAUCCCUAGCUGGUCUGAGAGGAUGACCAGCCACACUGGAACUGAGACACGGUCCAGACUCCUACGGGAGGCAGCAGUGGGGAAUAUUGCACAAUGGGCGCAAGCCUGAUGCAGCCAUGCCGCGUGUAUGAAGAAGGCCUUCGGGUUGUAAAGUACUUUCAGCGGGGAGGAAGGCAAUACGGUUAAUAACCGUGUUGAUUGACGUUACCCGCAGAAGAAGCACCGGCUAACUCCGUGCCAGCAGCCGCGGUAAUACGGAGGGUGCAAGCGUUAAUCGGAAUUACUGGGCGUAAAGCGCACGCAGGCGGUCUGUCAAGUCGGAUGUGAAAUCCCCGGGCUCAACCUGGGAACUGCAUCCGAAACUGGCAGGCUUGAGUCUUGUAGAGGG
rnacentral:rRNA from 1 species